GUUGUAUGGUUAAGUGACUAAGCGUACACGGUGGAUGCCUUGGCAGUCAGAGGCGACGAAGGACGUAUUAACUUGCGAUAAGCCCAGUUUAGAUAGUAAAAAUCACUUGAGACUGGGAUUUCCGAAUGGGGAAACCCA
rnacentral:rRNA from 1 species